GAUGAAGAACGUAGCGAAAUGCGAUAAGUAAUGUGAAUUGCAGAAUUCAGUGAAUCAUCGAAUCUUUGAACGCACAUUGCGCCCAUUAGCAUUCUAGUGGGCAUGCCUGUUCGAGCGUCAUUUCAACCCUUAAGCCCUGUUGCUUAGCGUUGGGAGCCUACAGUACUGUAGCUCCCCAAAGUUAGUGGCGGAGUCGGUUUCACACUCUAGACGUAGUAAUUUUUUCUCGUCUGUAGUUGAGCCGGUCCACUGCCGUAAAACACCCAAUUUAUCAAGGUUGACCUCGGAUCAGGUAGGAAUACCCGCUGAACUUAAGCAUAUCAAUAAGCGGAGGA
rnacentral:misc_RNA from 1 species